UCUGCUCAGAGAGGGAUGUCUUAUGGGAGAUAGCCCAGGAGCACUUGUGAAAAACACCAAACGCAGGUUCCAAUUAGAUUCAAAACAGGAUUCAUCUGACAGCUUUUUGCAGUAGGCAAAACACCAUCAAGGAGAUAAGGGCAAAAUGGCGGCGUGUGUAUGUAUACAAAAUGCAGAUGUGCCGAAGGGGGGAAAAAUCUGUCCUGCGCUGGCCCACAGCCAGGACCAUCUGCCCAGAGGCAGUACCACCCACAGUGAGCUGGGCCCUCCCACGUCAAUCAUGAAUCAAGAACACAUCUUACAGACUUGUCUACAGGCCAGUCUGAUGGAGACAUCUUCUCAAACCAAGCUCUAAUUCUGGACAGAUUGGACUUCUGUGCUGUCAACAUUGUUUAUCCAUCCUCUCACGAACAAACUUGAAGGCAACAAUGAAAGCUUCAGUGACCUUCACAUCCUGAAUGAAAGAACUGGGUUGCAAUAAUCCCUCCGUUCUCGCUUCAUCCUCUGCUGUUUGACUGCCAACCUGGAGAGGUGGAAGAUCAUCUCUUCAGGCAGACACAUGGCAUCAUAGCUUUGGAACCAGGAAGAGGCGAUGUGCAGUUGUGAGCAUUGAUUAAUCAGGUGACACCCAUCAGCAGUAUCAAUUGACAAACUCCAGAAGUUAGAGUAUUCCAAUGGGCAGCUACAGAGCUGUGCCAGAGGGCCAAGUGUGGACCCAAGAACUCUGGGACAUAUACUGAUUCUUUUUCUUUUCUCUUUUUGUCUGUUUUUUAAUGGUGUUAAUCCACAGAACAAGACUCAAAUAUUUCAUCUCUUCACAGUAUGUUUUACAGCCUUUCCAGUCAGUCCUCCUGAGAACUAACUGCUAUUCUGAUUUUGGUCCCAAUGACUCAAUCUCUUCUUUAAUUAUUACAUUUAUUCAAGUGUCAAGUACUUACAUAUACAUAUACAUAUACAUAUGUGUGUAUGUGUGUGUGUGUGUGUGUGUGUGUGUGUGUGUGUGAGAGAGAGAGAGAGAGAGAGAGAGAGAGAGAGAGAGAGAACAACUUGUGGGAACCAUUUCUCUCCCUCCACUAUGUGGGUCCUAGGGAGUCAAACUUAGGUGACUUAACCAGAUGGUUCAUCUUGGUGGCCUCGGUAUCCCUUGUGACAUCAUGCUACAAACACUUUUGAUUCAGAACUCUCUCAUGCAACCUUGGUAAGGACCAAGCCUUAUCCUUAUUGGCAGCUUAAGUGUAAGUGUGCAAUCCUUCUUAAUGAGUUGUAUUCUAGCUUUAUCCAUCAUGCUUUUCCCAUCCUCCUGUUGGUAUGGACAUUUGGUCAUUGAUAGUCAAAUAAUGUCAUAGGAACCAUUGUUUUGUGUAGAGCAACUCUAUAUACUGAGCCCCAAAGUCCCAAACAAGAUGGAGCCACUUAAGCUAAAACCCUGAAACUGAAUCUUUAAUCCAAUAUCUUAGGAAUCAGAAAAGAGAAGGCGCCAAGUCCCCUACUAUACAGAUUGGUUUGAGCCUGUGUAAGGAAGUCCCACCCUUUAACCCUUAACAAAAUACCUUUAUUACCAAGGCACUUUCUAUAUACUGGGAUGUACAUCAGUAGUAGAGCACUUGCCUAGCAUACCCACGUCCCUGGGUUCAAUCUUCAGCAGUACUUUUCAAGAGCCGUAUCGUGCCCUGCUCACCGAUCUGAGCACAACUGUACAAUCUGCAUAUUUGUGGUGGGUCCCAUUGGGUCAAAAUAGAGACCACACCCCCACUCUACAGAGACUCCACCCCUACAUACAGAAACCCCACCCCACCCAUCCUCUGGAGUCUGAUUUCUUAUGUUUCUGAGACAGAGACAAUGAGGAUCUUGUCACUUCUUAGUCUUAGGCACUUCUUGUGUGCCUAAUAUGUUUAGCAGCUGGCGUGAACAUGAACAUGGGAUCAGUUCUGAAUAACAUAGGUGUAUGAGUCCAAGCCCCUAAUAACUGUGAGUCAAGGACAGACCAGACGAUCUACAAACCAAGACAUAGGGCUAAGAUGCUUGUCAGCUAAAUAACAAUAAAUACUAUGCAAAAAUAUGGUCAAAUUAAAAACAAGAGAGGAGAAACCUAACCAUUCUUCAUAAUAUAGAAUUAAAAAGAAAUUGUCUUUAAUAGACAUAAGAAUGUUAUAACAACUAUACUUCUCAAAGUAUCCACAUGUGCUUGAGCUUUCCUACUUACUUCCACAUACUACACAUACUUCCAAAGAAGAAAUUAAUUAUAUAGUUGUAGAACAAUUAUAUAGUUGUAGUUGCUUUAAGGAAACAAAACUAAAAGAUUUAAGACAAAGUCCAUGACAUAAUUGAGACCUCAACUAGUUACUCUUCUGUUACCUUGAUAGAGUAGAGUGACAAAAGCAGAAGCAGCUUAGGAAAUAAAGGCUCAUUUUAUCUUAUGGUUCCAGAAGAAUGUGAUCUAUCAUGGCUGAGAAGAUAUGGCAAUAGGCAGGGGAUGGGUGGCCACAGGCACAGGAAGCUGACUGGUCCACAAACUAGACGCAGAGGUAGAAAAUUCAUAAAACCUCAUAGCCCACACUAGCUGGUGUUCUUUCUCCAUCAGGGCUUCGCCUGCAAAGGGUUCCAUAAUCUUUCCAUGAAGUACUACCACCUGCAGACCUAGUGUUUAAAUACCUGAUCCUUUGUACAGGGCGAUAGAUAGGGAUAUACUAGUAUUCUUCUACAUCUUCUACAUGCAGAUAUCCACUUAGACCAGCAUCACUUGUUGAAGGUGAUUUUUUUCUUUCCAUUGUAUAAUUUUGGCCUCUUUGUUAAAUAUCAAGUAUUCAUAGCUGUGUGAAUUUACUUCUAGGUCUUCAAUUUCGUUCCAUUGGUCAACCAGUCUGUUUUUAUGUCAAUACCAUGAGGUUUUACUGCCAUUGCUCUGUAGUACAGCUUGAAAUCAGGGAUGGUGAAUACCUCCAGAAGUUCUUUCAUUGUACAGGAUUGAUUUAGCUAUCCUGGGUUUUUUGUUUUGCAAUAUAAAGUUGAAUAUUGUUCUUUAAAGUUCCAUAAAGGAUUAUGUGUGUUGGCAUUUUGACAGGAAUUGAGUUGAAUCUAUGUUAAUCCUACUGAUCCAUGAACAUGUGAGAUCUUUCCAUUUUCUGAUAUCUUUCUCAAUUUCUUUCUUCAAAGAUAUAGGUCUCUCUUGCUAGGUUAGAGUUACACCAAGUAGAUAUUAGCUGUAAAGGAAAAGAUAACAAUGCUAUAAUCCAAAGACUGAGAGACUCCAAGUACUAAGAAUGGCUCAAAAAAGAACUCAUGAAUAUCACUGAAAGGGGGAAAUUGAAUAAACAUUAUUCUAUUCUAUUCAUUAUGGGUGGAUGGGGAAAGGGACUAGAUGGGAGUUGGGAAUGGGAAUAGGAGGACUCAGGUAGGAGAUCAGAGGAGAAGAGUAUUGAGAGAGACAACUAGAAUUGGGGGAGGGGCAAUCUCUGAGAUGAGCUACAAGCCUAAGAUAAUGGAUACUCCCAGAAAUCCAGGAGGUUGGACCCUAACUAAAACUCCUAGCAAUGGAGAAUAUGGAGUCUGAACCUGCCAGCUCCUGUAGUCAGACAAGACUUCCAAUGGAGGGAUUGGGACAUCAACCCAUC
ensembl:lncRNA